UGCCUAAUACAUGCAAGUAGAACGCUGAAGAGAGGAGCUUGCUCUUCUUGGAUGAGUUGCGAACGGGUGAGUAACGCGUAGGUAACCUGCCUUGUAGCGGGGGAUAACUAUUGGAAACGAUAGCUAAUACCGCAUAACAAUGGAUGACACAUGUCAUUUAUUUGAAAGGGGCAAUUGCUCCACUACAAGAUGGACCUGCGUUGUAUUAGCUAGUAGGUGAGGUAACGGCUCACCUAGGCGACGAUACAUAGCCGACCUGAGAGGGUGAUCGGCCACACUGGGACUGAGACACGGCCCAGACUCCUACGGGAGGCAGCAGUAGGGAAUCUUCGGCAAUGGGGGCAACCCUGACCGAGCAACGCCGCGUGAGUGAAGAAGGUUUUCGGAUCGUAAAGCUCUGUUGUAAGUCAAGAACGAGUGUGAGAGUGGAAAGUUCACACUGUGACGGUAGCUUACCAGAAAGGGACGGCUAACUACGUGCCAGCAGCCGCGGUAAUACGUAGGUCCCGAGCGUUGUCCGGAUUUAUUGGGCGUAAAGCGAGCGCAGGCGGUUUGAUAAGUCUGAAGUUAAAGGCUGUGGCUCAACCAUAGUUCGCUUUGGAAACUGUCAAACUUGAGUGCAGAAGGGGAGAGUGGAAUUCCAUGUGUAGCGGUGAAAUGCGUAGAUAUAUGGAGGAACACCGGUGGCGAAAGCGGCUCUCUGGUCUGUAACUGACGCUGAGGCUCGAAAGCGUGGGGAGCG
rnacentral:rRNA from 1 species